UCCCAGCAAAAAAGUAGCAUAGGUGAAGUGGUGGCAUUGCAUGGCCAGCAUGUCCAUCCUUGGGUAGUAAUGGAGAUCACCUGUUCUUCUCCCACCCCAGGUGCCUUCAGGACAAUGAGUGGAACUACACCAGAGCUGGCCAGAUCUUCACUCUGCUCCAGGCCGCGGGCAAGAUCCCAGAGGAGGCCUUCCAGCAAAUCUCAUGAAAGGAGUCCUUGGAUGUCGUCUUCGUCUCCACAUCAUUUUCAUUUCUAUUUUCAACAGCCUCAGGGCACGCCCAUAACUGAGGUUGGAGGCCAGGCUGACCAAGAAGCCAAAGUUAACUUGUAGGCCAGGUCACAUAACCACCCAAAGAGCCAAUUGUUCUGUAUAUUUUCCCCACUCGUGAUCACUGUUUAUUUUUAUAAUAAAGAAUGAUGUUGCACGUUGUA